UACGAAGGGGGCUAGCGUUGCUCGGAAUGACUGGGCGUAAAGGGUGCGUAGGUGGCUUGGUAAGUUUGAUGUGAAAUCUCCGGGCUUAACCCGGAAAUGGCAUUGAAUACUAUUGAGCUGGAGGUUUGGAGGGGGGACUGGAAUUCUCGGUGUAGCAGUGAAAUGCGUAGAUAUCGAGAGGAACACCAGUGGCGAAGGCGAGUCCCUGGACAACACCUGACACUGAGGCACGAAAGCUAGGGGAGCAAACAGG
rnacentral:rRNA from 1 species